rnacentral:lncRNA from 1 species
CCAGGUGCCCCCAGGUGCGCCCAGGUGCCCCCAGGUGCGCCCAGGUGCGUCAGUCGCCGCCGUUGGCGCGGAUGGUGCGGCGGAUCCAGGCGGUGAAGGCGCACACCCGGCUGUACACACCUGGCUUGCCCUGCUGGCCGCACACCUGCAGCCCCCAGGAGACCACGCCCUGCAGGUACCCGUCACACACCAGCGGGCCCCCGGAGUCACCCUGCGGCGGGGGACAGGGGGACAGGUGAGAAAUGGGACAGGUGGGACAGGUGGGACAGGUGAGACAGGUGAGAUUGGUGGGACAGGUGGGACACAGGUGGGACAGGUGAGACAGGUGGGACACAGGUGGGACACAGGUGGGACACGGGUGGGACAGGUGGGACAGGUGGGACAGGUGAGACACAGGUGGGACAGGUGAGACACAGGUGAGAGAUAAGUGAGAAAGAUGGAACAGGUGAAAUAGGUG